AGGUAUCCAACCAAUAUCCUUUCGUCAACUAAAAUUCCUGUUCCAUCUCUCCUACCCAAGUCUGGAAUGGAUGGUACCACAAUUCCUUUAUCUACCUUGGUGGAUGGUUGCCAUUGGGACACACAAGUUUUAGUACAGUAAUCUAAUGCUACAUAUCGAAAUGGUCUUAUAUGCAAAUAUUACUGAUCUCAAAAUAAAAAGUGGAUAGUGGAUCAUGUCUACCCACCAAAAAUGUACUGGGACGUUCCUGAUUUAUGUUAAAACAGUUUUUACAAUUUGUGAAUGUUGACAGAAAUAUAUUGUCUAGAUUUGAGUUGGUCAUCAGUGACCUAAUGCAUUGAUCAGGUCAUACCCUGGUCGUACUAAUAUGGCUGCCUCUAGUUUUAUUAAGGUAGUGUUCAAAACGUUCAAGAACUCAUUAAAGCAAUGCAUACAUCUCUCACGUUUCACCCAAAUUCCAUUUUGCUUCACUUCAAGCAGAACUAAAAGAUCUGUAACAAGAUUGAGAAAUUUCAAAAUCAAUUCCAUUAAAAUAUGCUUCAAAAAUGGUUUAUUCAAUUCAAGAGGAUGCCCUAUCCAGCCCUGGUUAUGAGAUCAGUGGUACGGUGAAUGCUAUUAUAUUUCUGUGUAUGUGGUCACUGGUACUAUACUAUAGAAGCAUGCCAUUACUCUAGCUAGUAUGAGGAAACUAAUCGACUAAAUGUUUGAGGAAUAUUUCAUCCAAUCUUGAUAAUAAUGAUAAAUAGAAAAUGAAUGUUGAAUUGCCGAUGGUAUUUAAUAACACGUACAAUAUGUAGUUUUUGUUUACAUUCCGAUUUUGAAGUUGUUUUUUGUCCGGCACGGAAACCAACGAGCUUUGGCCAUUUGUUCGUGAAUUAAUUCGAUUGGUUCAUUUGAAUGCCCAGCGGUUGUUUCACACAAAACCGGAAACCUAACCCCCUUCCCUAACCUCUAUUUACACCUAACCCUAACUGAGCAUCCCACCUGCGAAUUCUACGCCAGCAAAACGAAGGUCUGUGGACAGGCUAGUGCAAGGCGUGCGAGUGCCUUACGGCUACCGAGUAUUUGCUACAAAAUUGAUGAAAUUUACUUGAUGUCACUUUAGCAUGCUGACAGAAUGAAGAAAAUAGUUGUGCCGGACAAAUAACCAAAGUUCAUUGGUUUCCACGACCGUAAAAAUAACUACUUCCUUUCAAUUUAUUUUUGAAAAUAGAAAUUCUGCAUAUUUGAAAUAGAAAAUGAUCUUAUUCACCUUCGCUACAUGCAGUUUUUAGAAAAUUAACGUUAGCACAAAUCCUCUAUUUCAGCAUUCAAAACAGCCGGAAACGGGCAGCGUUAUCUUGUUUAGAAAUCUUUAUCGAUGUGUAUAGGUUUACUCGUAAUUAUUGAUUUAUUGUACUCGUUGUUUCGGG